UGAGUUUGUAGCUCAGUGGAUUAGAGCAUAUGUUUCCGACACAUAGUGUCGAGGGUUCAAUUCCCUCCAAACUCAA
rnacentral:tRNA from 1 species